CCUAACACAUGCAAGUCGAACGAAGUAGCAAUACUUAGUGGCAGACGGGUGAGUAACAUGUAGGUAUCUACCCUUUGGCCUGGAAUAACACGAGGAAACUUGUGCUAAUACCAGAUAAGUCUUUACGGAGAAAGCUUUAUGCACCAUUGGAUGAGCCUGCACUUGAUUAGUUUGUUGGUGGGGUAAUGGCCUACCAAGACUUUGAUCAAUAGCUGAUUUGAGAGGAUGAUCAGCCACAUUGGGACUGAGACACGGCCCAAACUCCUACGGGAGGCAGCAGUGGGGAAUCUUGCACAAUGGAGGAAACUCUGAUGCAGCGAUGCCGCGUGAGUGAAGAAGGCCCUUGGGUUGUAAAGCUCUUUCGUCGGGGAAGAAAAUGACUGUACCCGAAUAAGAAGGUCCGGCUAACUUCGUGCCAGCAGCCGCGGUAAUACGAAGGGACCUAGCGUAGUUCGGAAUUACUGGGCUUAAAGAGUUCGUAGGUGGUUGAAAAAGUUGGUGGUGAAAUCCCAGAGCUUAACUCUGGAACUGCCAUCAAAACUUUUCAGCUAGAGUUUGAUAGAGGAAAGCAGAAUUUCUAGUGUAGAGGUGAAAUUCGUAGAUAUUAGAAAGAAUACCAAUUGCGAAGGCAGCUUUCUGGAUCAUUACUGACACUGA
rnacentral:rRNA from 1 species